AGUGAACGCUGGCGGUAGGCCUAACACAUGCAAGUCGAACGGCAGCACAGUAAGAGCUUGCUCUUACGGGUGGCGAGUGGCGGACGGGUGAGGAAUACAUCGGAAUCUACUUUUUCGUGGGGGAUAACGUAGGGAAACUUACGCUAAUACCUCAUACGACCUACGGGUGAAAGCAGGGGAUCUUCGGACCUUGCGCGAUUGAAUGAGCCGAUGUCGGAUUAGCUAGUUGGCGGGGUAAAGGCCCACCAAGGCGACGAUCCGUAGCUGGUCUGAGAGGAUGAUCGGCCACACUGGAACUGAGACACGGUCCAGACUCCUACGGGAGGCAGCAGUGGGGAAUAUUGGACAAUGGGCGAAAGCCUGAUCCAGCCAUACCGCGUGGGUGAAGAAGGCCUUCGGGUUGUAAAGCCCUUUUGUUGGGAAAGAAAAGCAGCAGGUUAAUACCCCGAUGUUCUGACGGUACCCAAAGAAUAAGCACCGGCUAACUUCGUG
rnacentral:rRNA from 1 species